GAUGAACGCUGGCGGCGUGCCUAAUACAUGCAAGUCGAGCGAACGGACGAGAAGCUUGCUUCUCUGAUGUUAGCGGCGGACGGGUGAGUAACACGUGGAUAACCUACCUAUAAGACUGGGAUAACUUCGGGAAACCGGAGCUAAUACCGGAUAAUAUUUUGAACCGCAUGGUUCAAAAGUGAAAGACGGUCUUGCUGUCACUUAUAGAUGGAUCCGCGCUGCAUUAGCUAGUUGGUAAGGUAACGGCUUACCAAGGCAACGAUGAAUAGCCGACCUGAGAGGGUGAUCGGCCACACUGGAACUGAGACACGGUCCAGACUCCUACGGGAGGCAGCAGUAGGGAAUCUUCCGCAAUGGGCGAAAGCCUGACGGAGCAACGCCGCGUGAGUGAUGAAGGUCCUCGGAUCGUAAAACUCUGUUAUUAGGGAAGAACAUAUGUGUAAGUAACUGUGCACAUCUUGACGGUACCUAAUCAGAAAGCCACGGCUAACUACGUG
rnacentral:rRNA from 1 species